AUGGAUGUGAUGAUUAUUUCCCCAGAUGAUCGAAGCUGAACAUUCUGUGCGAUUUUUUUUUUCUUUUUUGAGAAAUCAAGCCAAAUAAUCUGAUCCAU
rnacentral:snoRNA from 1 species